rnacentral:misc_RNA from 1 species
UACGUAGGGUGUAAGCGUUAUCCGGAACCAUUGGGCCUAAAGAGCUCGUAGGUGGUUCAACAAGUCGGCUGUGAAAGUCCGAGGCUCAACCUCGGAAUUGCAGUCGAUACUGUUAUGACUCGAGUCCGGUAGAGGAGAAUGGAAUUCCCGGUGUAGCGGUGAAAUGCGCAGAUAUCGGGAGGAACACCAGUAGCGAAGGCGGUUCUCUGGGCCGGCACUGACGCUGAGGAGCGAAAGCGUGGGGAGCAAACAGG